rnacentral:rRNA from 1 species
UACGUAGGGACCGAGCGUUGUCCGGAAUCAUUGGGCGUAAAGAGCGUGUAGGCGGCCUUUUAAGUCCUGCGUGAAAUCCUGCGGCUCAACCGCAGACGGUCGUGGGAAACUGGAAGGCUAGAGUGCGGGAGAGGAGAGUGGAAUUCCCGGUGUAGCGGUGAAAUGCGCAGAUAUCAGGAGGAACACCGGUGGCGAAGGCGGGUCUCUGGGCCGUAACUGACGCUGAGGAGCGAAAGCGUGGGGAGCGAACAGG